UUCAUUUCUCCAGCAACAGAUCUCUGCAACAAUAAUGAGGAGAUUCAGAAUCUCUAUAUGAGAUGAAUCAAUUUUCAGUUCAUCCGUUAGAUUUCGGGGGCUAGAUGGCAGAAGAGGAACAAAAAUGAAGACGGUUUAGUAAUGAAAGAAGCUGAAACUUUCGCAGCAGUAUCUCAAGAGACGGAAAAGCUUAUGAAUGGAAUUUUUUAAAUAGAUUGAACGAUUGUCUCAACAGUUAAUUUCUGGCGGUUAUCAAGCGUCGCUACGUACGGUGCAGGGUAUGAGAGAUGUCAUUACUCACAUGGUUUGAGAUUUAGCUCGAUACCAGUAGGAUGCAGCAUGCUUUUGGCAUGAUGCAACUCGCUCUAGGUAGGAUGCAACUCGCUUUUGCCAGGAUGCAAACCAUUUUUACUGUGAGCCCGAGGAGUUGAAGUCCAGAAUGGGUGGUAACGCGGUUGUUUCUCAUGACUUAAUGGUAUGUUCCUCGGUUUGGAAUUUUGGAUUUUGUUUCCAUAAUUUAUCGCUGCCUCUGCCUCUAAAACACAGACAGUUUGUAUUGAGAAACCUGAGCACCUGCCUCCACCAAAAUCCAACGAUACGCCUUCCAUCCCAUGUCUCCUGGUCCAGGAAUCUGUUAUACAAGAGAAUAUGGAUAAGUUUGAUGUUGCCCCGACGCAUAGAUGUCCCAACAAGUGCAGCACCUGGUUUGUUGACUGUUGACUCCACAACAUUAUCUAUUUUGAAUUUCAUAGAUACCACUCCUCCCUUCGAAGCAUCCACAAAUGUUUCUGGUCACUCCUCCCUUAAAGCUUUUUAAUUUAAGUUCAUUUCAAUCUUAACGAUAGUUUUUCCAGGUACCCCCAAAACAAUAGUUUUUCAACACUAGAGCAAAGAAGUUAAAAAGCUUUAAAUUUGCUAUCUUUUGUUUCCAACGUUAUUGUUACAAAUUUUGUAUCCUCUGACAUGCUAUGUUGUUUGCCCACUCAGAGGGUUUCCUUGAAAUUUAAGAGCAUGAUGUGAAUCACUUUCACAUCUUUUUUCAUUAUGUGAAGCCCAACGUGAAUAAUCCACAUUUCUUGAUUCCCUUUACAAGCAUUACAUUUUUUUUUACAUCGCGUCCAUGUGUUAUGUAGCUUAUAGACAAAGUAUGUGUUAUAGGUGAUGGAGCA